GACGAACGCUGGCGGCGUGCUUAACACAUGCAAGUCGAACGGAAAGGCUCCAGCUUGCUGGAGUACUCGAGUGGCGAACGGGUGAGUAACACGUGGGUAACCUGCCCUGCACUUUGGGAUAGGCCUGGGAAACGGGGCUUAAUCCUGGAUAUGACCUUUCUCCUUAUGGGGUUCGGUGGAAAGUUUUUCGGUGUAGGAUGAGCCCGCGGCCUAUCAGCUUGUUGGUGGGGUGAUGGCCUACCAAGGCGACGACGGGUAGCCGGCCUGAGAGGGUGAUCGGCCACAUUGGGACUGAGAUACGGCCCAGACUCCUACGGGAGGCAGCAGUGGGGAAUAUUGCACAAUGGGCGGAAGCCUGAUGCAGCGACGCCGCGUGAGGGAUGACGGCCUUCGGGUUGUAAACCUCUUUCAGCAGGGACGAAGCGUAAGUGACGGUACCUGCAGAAGAAGCACCGGCUAACUAUGUG
rnacentral:rRNA from 1 species